GUACCUGCUGUGCUGUGAGACGCGCUUGAGAAGCAACUCGCAAAAUCUUCUCAUUCUCACACUUUGCAAACUUCAUAAUUAGGUCAGGUUUUUUUCCGGGAAGGAAUACCCGUUGACCCAAACAACCUGAGCUCCCUAUCCACCUUCAAACUCAACUCAACAAAUGGCGAGCUAAACAACUACGCGGUUGUGCUGCUGUCCACCCGUGUGUGUGAUUGCUUCCCUGCGGUGUGGUCCUGUCGCUCCUUAUACUCCCGCUGUUUCAUUGAAGAGACACUGCAACCAAAUGACCUCCUAACUGCCAUGGCGUUGACGGCCAUCGUCAACCCAGACACUGACCAGCUGCCUCGCGUGUGCAGCGAUGGCCCGCGUGUCACGGCGGAGGACACAGCUCUCGCCUCCUGGACAAUGGCCUGUAACCCAUCAGAUCUGAUUUGACGAGUGUGUUUGAAGAUUCUACAUUUAACACAAAAAGAAACAUAUGUUACUUGCAAUAUGGAAAAUUUACAAAAAUUAAUUAAGCUGCAUUAAUUCAAUUGAACUAAAUGUGUCCAUUGUAAGAAAUCAUGUCUGUGUAAGGACGUACCUUGGUCUGCAAUGUUUGGGUCCAAGGAUCAUAUCCCGCGAUUUCAACAAUCUGCUCUUCCAAGAACGACAACUGAACCUGCUGCUCAAUUGGAGAGAGCAGGCACCUCUUCAGCUGGUCCCUCGCCGCCUUCUUUUUGUGUCUUUGAAGCAUGUGGUUGUAUGACAGUUUCCCAUUUCUUUACACAGUCUUUUGCAUUGUCGUUGAACUCUGCGAGAUCUUUGAAGCUGCACUGGUUGGGUAGCAGAGGACAGACAAGGCAGUGCUGCAUCGUAUGGUCCUCUUCUACGCAUUCGCAGGAGGUUGGGCCGGUUUUGUAGCCCCAUCUGGCCAUAGCACCUUUUGAUCGCCCCCUUCCUGUUCUCAGGCGGUUUAGAGUCUUCCACUGGACCCGUGGUGUUUCCGACCCGGGGGGCAGGUCUUAAAUAGGGGGGAUUCCCAUGUCAAUAGGGUCUUUCUCUAGUCUUUGUGUCCAUAGCUGGAGUCUGGUUUCUUCCCAAGAUGUUGUUAGGUGCUGGACAUUGCUGAAGAAGCUUCUCCUAGACUUGGGCUGAGGGUUCACGUCCAUGGAGGAGGUGGCGGCGUUCAUCACUGGGAGCUUUUGUCCCUCGCCUGUUUUAUUUGCAAAGGUUUUGUUGAAGGACAUUUUGUCUUUUGUUCUUCUGCGUAGAUCUUGCCAUCUUGUUUUAAUGUCUUCUACAGAUCUCCUUGUUUUGCUUACAUAAUUACCUUUUUUUGCAAAUCGCCUCCUAUAUCACCUUUCUUCCAGCAGCGCUGAGAUUUCGCUGCUGAAGU